ACCUUCGUAGUGUAACGGUAGCACACUCGGCGCGUAUUCGAGAGGUCCAGGUUCAAGUCCCGGCGUGGGCA
rnacentral:tRNA from 1 species